GACGAACGCUGGCGGCGUGCUUAACACAUGCAAGUCGAACGGAAAGGCCCAGCUUUGUGGGGGGAUUGGUGGGGCAAAGGGGAGUAAAACCCGGGUAAACCCUCCCUUGCACUUGGGUAAACCUUCGGAAACCUGGGUCAAACCCGGUACGGGGUUCCCGCGCCCGGGGUGGGGGUGGGAAGUUUUCGGCGGUGGGGGAUGGACUCGCGGCUUAUCAGUUUGUUGGUGGGGUAGGGGCUUACCAAGGCUUUGACGGGUAGCCGGCCUGAGAGGGUGACCGGCCACAUUGGGACUGAGAUACGGCCCAGACUCCUACGGGAGGCAGCAGUGGGGAAUAUUGCACAAUGGGCGGAAGCCUGAUGCAGCAACGCCGCGUGCGGGAUGACGGCCUUCGGGUUGUAAACCGCUUUCGCCUGGGACGAAGCGUGAGUGACGGUAAUGGGAAAAGAAGCACCGGCUAACUACGUG
rnacentral:rRNA from 1 species